UACGUAGGGUGCGAGCGUUGUCCGGAAUUAUUGGGCGUAAAGAGCUUGUAGGCGGUUUGUCGCGUCUGCUGUGAAAAUCCGGGGCUCAACCCCGGACUUGCAGUGGGUACGGGCAGACUAGAGUGUGGUAGGGGAGACUGGAAUUCCUGGUGUAGCGGUGAAAUGCGCAGAUAUCAGGAGGAACACCGGUGGCGAAGGCGGGUCUCUGGGCCGAUACUGACGCUGAGGCACGAAGGUCAGGGGAGCAAACGGG
rnacentral:rRNA from 1 species